rnacentral:rRNA from 1 species
GACGAACGCUGGCGGCGUGCCUAAUACAUGCAAGUUGAGCGCUGAAGGUUGGUACUUGUACCAACUGGAUGAGCAGCGAACGGGUGAGUAACGCGUGGGGAAUCUGCCUUUGAGCGGGGGACAACAUUUGGAAACGAAUGCUAAUACCGCAUAAAAACUUUAAACACAAGUUUUAAGUUUGAAAGAUGCAAUUGCAUCACUCAAAGAUGAUCCCGCGUUGUAUUAGCUAGUUGGUGAGGUAAAGGCUCACCAAGGCGAUGAUACAUAGCCGACCUGAGAGGGUGAUCGGCCACAUUGGGACUGAGACACGGCCCAAACUCCUACGGGAGGCAGCAGUAGGGAAUCUUCGGCAUUGGACGAAAGUCUGACCGAGCAACGCCGCGUGAGUGAAGAAGGGUUUCGGAUCGUAAAACUCUGUUGGUAGAGAAGAACGUUGGUGAGAGUGGAAAGCUCAUCAAGUGACGGUAACUACACAGAAAGGGACGGCUAACUACGUG